GAUGAACGCUGGCGGCGUGCCUAAUACAUGCAAGUCGAACGAGGUGCUUGAGUAGCAAUACAAGAGUGUCCUAGUGGCGAACGGGUGAGUAACGCGUUGGUGACCUACCCCAAAGUGUGGGAUAACAGUCCGAAAGGACUGCUAAUACCGCAUGUGGUUAUCGGAUUUAGAAACUGAUAUCUAGAGGAGCAAUUCGCUUUGGGAGGGACCUGCGUCCCAUCAGCUAGUUGGUGAGGUAAUGGCUCACCAAGGCUACGACGGGUAGGGGACCUGAGAGGGUGACCCCCCCACAAUGGAACUGAAACACGGUCCAUACACCUACGGGUGGCAGCAGUAGGGAAUAUUGCUCAAUGGGCGAAAGCCUGAAGCAGCAACGCCGCGUGUGCGAUGAAGGCCUUCGGGUCGUAAAGCACUUUUCUGAGAGAUGAGCAAGGACAGUAUCUCAGGAAUAAGUCUCGGCUAACUACGUGCCAGCAG
rnacentral:rRNA from 1 species